CUAGUACUGUGAUCUUAAACCUUACCCACCAACGCCGUCGUGAGUGAUGAAGGUUACGGAUCGUAAAGCUCUGUCAGAGGGGAAGAAACUCCCGGGUGUAAAUAACACUUGGGCCUGACGGUACCCUCAAAGGAAGCACCGGCUAACUCCGUGCCAGCAGCCGCGGUAAUACGGAGGGUGCAAGCGUUGUUCGGAAUUAUUGGGCGUAAAGCGCGUGUAGGCGGUUGUUUAAGUCUGAUGUGAAAGCCCUGGGCUCAACCCGGGAAGUGCAUUGGAAACUGGGCAACUUGAGUACGGGAGAGGGUAGUGGAAUUCCGAGUGUAGGGGUGAAAUCCGUAGAUAUUCGGAGGAACACCGGUGGCGAAGGCGGCUACCUGGACCGAUACUGACGCUGAGACGCGAAAGCGUGGGGAGCAAACAGGAUUAGAUACCCUGGUAGUCCACGCCGUAAACGAU
rnacentral:rRNA from 1 species